CAGUCGAGAUUAGAGUUUGACCUGGCUCAGAACAAACGCUGGCGGCGCGUUUUAAGCAUGCAAGUCGGACGGCAAGAGUUGUAGCAAUAUGACUCCUAGAGUGGCGAACGGGUGAGUAACACGUAGGUGAUCUGCCCUUGAAUGGGGGAUAGUCCGUGGAAACACGGGGUAAUACCGCAUGAGGCCUUGUGGGUAGAGCCAUGAGGUGAAAGGUGCAAUUGCACCGUCUGGGGAUGAGCCUGCGGUCCAUUAGGUAGUUGGCGGGGUAAGAGCCCACCAAGCCGACGAUGGAUAGCCGGCCUGAGAGGGUGUACGGCCACACUGGAACUGAGACACGGUCCAGACUCCUACGGGAGGCAGCAGCUAAGAAUCUUCCGCAAUGGGGGAAACCCUGACGGAGCGACGCCGCGUGGACGAUGGAGGCCGUAAGGUUGUAAAGUCCUUUUCCUGGUGAAGAAUGAGCGGGGGAGUGGAAAGCCCCCGUGAUGACGUUAGCCAGGGAAUAAGCCCCGGCCAAUUACGUGCCAGCAGCCGCGGUAAUACGUAUGGGGCAAGCGUUGUUCGGAGUUAUUGGGCGUAAAGGGCGUGUAGGCGGCUCAUCAAGUCUGGUGUGAAAUUGCAGGGCCCAACCCUGCAGGUGCGCUGGAAACUGGUGGGCUUGAGUUCCUGAGGGGAAGCUGGAAUUCCAGGUGUAGGAGUGAAAUCUGUAGAUAUCUGGAAGAACACCGGUGGCGAAGGCGAGCUUCUAUCAGAGGACUGACGCUGAGGCGCGAAAGCGUGGGGAGCAAACAGGAUUAGAUACCCUGGUAGUCCACGCUGUAAACGAUGUGCACUAGGCGUGGGGCACGUCCGUGCUCUGUGCCGUAGCUAACGUGUUAAGUGCACCGCCUGGGGAGUAUGCUCGCAAGGGUGAAACUCAAAGGAAUUGACGGGGGCCCGCACAAGCGGUGGAGCAUGUGGUUUAAUUCGAUGGUACACGAGGAACCUUACCAGGGCUUGACAUGUACGUGGAUGUUCACGAGAGUGGGCAGCCUCGCAAGGGGCGCGUACACAGGUGCUGCAUGGCUGUCGUCAGCUCGUGUCGUGAGAUGUUGGGUUAAGUCCCGCAACGAGCGCAACCCUUACCGUCUGUUGCCAACAGGUUGUGCUGAGCACUCGGACGGAACUGCCGGUGACAAACCGGAGGAAGGUGGGGAUGACGUCAAGUCAUCAUGGCCCUUAUGUCCUGGGCUACACACGUGCUACAAUGGUCGGUACAAAGCGAAGCGAAACGGCGACGUGGAGCAAAUCGCAGAAAGCCGGUCUCAGUGCGGAUUGGAGUCUGAAACCCGACUCCAUGAAGUUGGAAUCGCUAGUAAUCGCGUAUCAGAAUGGCGCGGUGAAUACGUUCCCGGGCCUUGUACACACCGCCCGUCACACCACCCGAGUUGGGGGUACCCGAAGUCGCUAGUCUAACCGCAAGGGGGACGGCGCCGAAGGUAUGCCUGGUGAGGGGGGUGAAGUCGUAACAAGGUAACCAUCUCUAGAGGA
rnacentral:rRNA from 1 species